UGAUUUUCUCUCCGGCUCUCUGACUCGACAGAAUCAAUCUGUUGUUUGUAAUGAUGAUUAUUUAUGUGGCCCAGAACAUAAUGGUCUCCAGACGUCAAGCUAUAUUGUUUAAUAAAACUGAUAAAGUGUGUUUUUUUACUGAGCCCAGAUGUUAACAAUAACGCCGUGUGUUUGUUUAGCUAUACAUUUGUGGACGAAAUUGUUCCCAGAGGUGAAGUAAAUUCAAAACAGCUCAACGUGUCCAUUUCGUUUCAGGGUUUCGAGGUCUGAGAUCAUCUCAGCGUGAUUCAGAGAUGCAUACCUGAGGAUUUAAGUGUGGGGGGUAAGAUUACACCAGAAAACAGAAGGAAGUUCUCCAAAAAGUCCCAGAUUUAAAUGAGUCAACCGAGGUCUUAUCGCCCUUCCUGACUGCUCAUUGGAGGAAGGCGGGAGGGGUCACAGGAUGUAUCGCCUUUGCAUUAUGUUUCUCAUUAUUAAGAGGUUUUGUUUGGAGUCACUGCGUCCAUUUAAGGACAACUACACAAACACAACGGAUAACACAUCGGUCACUGCAAAGGAUCAUGGGAAAGUUGUGUAAACAUUUCUGUCUCAGAGAUAUUUCAGCUGUGUGUAGUCAAUUAUAGUUGUUUGAAACUGCAGGAAUGUCAGGUAAGGUGACAUUAAAGAUCCAUUCAAGAGAAAAAAUUCUAUGCACGCUUUUGUGCCAUAAUUUGAAAACACACCCUGGAGCCGGGACACACCCAGACCGGGCGGCACAUAACCGCGGGAACCUACAGGAGGGUGAGGAGGUCAGGAGUGACCUUAUUUGUUGCCCAAUCAGCACAGAGACACAAUGUACCGUCAGCGAGGGAUGGAUUGAUUUUUCCGACACGUUGCCUCGUUCAAGUGUAAGUUAAUGACGGACUCCACAAACAAACACAAGAACAUUCCAUACGUGCUGAUCAAAUACUCCCAUCAUCUCUUUCUGUCCCCUUUUCCUGGAAGUCACCCUGCAUUCCUGAAAUACCAUGACUGAAGUUUGUAGCCUGGCCAAGAUCCCAAAUCUCGCUUGAUUUAUAGUUCAGGAUUUAGUAGAUUUAGAUAGUUUUUCUUGUAUUGUAAACGAGAAACAUCACAAGCAAUCUGUCAAACAACAGCUGCACAUGAGAUGUGUGUUGUGCAUGUCGCCGUCAUGUUCACAAGACAUUUAAUAUUUAAUCAAUGCUUUUGACAAAAGAGAAACAAAUUAGAUUAUUUUGUCUAAAUUAUACAAUAAUUUAUAAUAAAAACAGUUUGUCAUAUUAAAUCAGAUCAUUUUGUAUAAUGAAUUAUUCCCUGCAGCACUGCUAGUUUCAUGUUUAUCAAACACAGAUCAGAUUUCAUUCAUCAUUCAGUCUUUACAGCAUAUGAUAGAUGUGUGUUUAAAGGUGCUGUAGAAUGUAAAACUGUAUUUAUUUAUUUAGGCAAUGCAUAGAUGAAUAAUAAGAGUUGUGUACAUUGUAAUGAAACACCACGAGCCUCAAACAUGAUUGUUUCCUUCUUCUUAUGUAAACCUUGUGCAUGCAAGAAGACAGAUGGAAAACAUCUCAACAUGAUGUUAAAGUGGAGAUUGUACUUAAUUUAAUGGUGUACCCCCAAAAUUAAAUUACACAUCAAAUGUUACAAUGCUAAAAAGAAAAUUGUGAUGAGUUAGCACUAUAUGCUCCAAACAAUUGAUUAUUCUUUAAAAUCUGUAUCUUCAUCUGACACAGACUCAAACAUAAGAUCUGUUUACACCAGGAGUCUCAAACUCAGACUGGCUUGGGGCCAUCGGAGGGCCGCAGAGCUAUUUUAACAUUCAACAAAGUACAAUAUUUCUGUAA